UACGGAAGGCAGCAGUGGGGAAUAUUGCACAAUGGGCGCAAGCCUGAUGCAGCCAUGCCGCGUGUAUGAAGAAGGCCUUCGGGUUGUAAAGUACUUUCAGUCGUGAGGAAGGUGUUAAGGUUAAUAACCUUAGCAAUUGACGUUAGCGACAGAAGAAGCACCGGCUAACUCCGUGCCAGCAGCCGCGGUAAUACGGAGGGUGCGAGCGUUAAUCGGAAUUACUGGGCGUAAAGGGCACGCAGGCGGUUAAUUAAGUUGGAUGUGAAAUCCCCGGGCUUAACCUGGGAAUGGCAUUCAAGACUGGUUAGCUAGAGUCUUGUAGAGGGGGUAGAAUUCCGAUGUGUAGCGGUGAAAUGCGUAGAGAUGUGGAGGAAUACCGGUGGCGAAGGCGGCCCCUGGCAAAGACUGACGCUCAUGUGCGAAAGCGUGGGGAGCAAACAGGAUUAGAUACC
rnacentral:rRNA from 1 species